GGGUUGUGAGGUUAAGCGACUAAGCGUACACGGUGGAUGCCCUGGCAGUCAGAGGCGAUGAAGGGCGUGCUAAUCUGCGAUAAGCGCCGGUAAGGUGAUAUGAACCGUUAUAACCGGCGAUACCCGAAUGGGGAAACCCAGUGUGAUUCGUCACACUAUCAUUAACUGAAUCCAUAGGUUAAUGAGGCGAACCGGGGGAACUGAAACAUCUAAGUACCCCGAGGAAAAGAAAUCAACCGAGAUUCCCCCAGUAGCGGCGAGCGAACGGGGAGGAGCCCAGAGCCUGAAUCAGCAUGUGUGUUAGUGGAAGCGUCUGGAAAGGCGCGCGAUACAGGGUGACAGCCCCGUACACAAAAGCGCAUGUGCUGUGAGCUCGAUGAGUAGGGCGGGACACGUGGUAUCCUGUCUGAAUAUGGGGGGACCAUCCUCCAAGGCUAAAUACUCCUGACUGACCGAUAGUGAACCAGUACCGUGAGGGAAAGGCGAAAAGAACCCCGGCGAGGGGAGUGAAAAAGAACCUGAAACCGUGUACGUACAAGCAGUGGGAGCACAGGUUUACCUGUGUGACUGCGUACCUUUUGUAUAAUGGGUCAGCGACUUAUAUUCUGUAGCAAGGUUAACCGAAUAGGGGAGCCGGAGGGAAACCGAGUCUUAAUUGGGCGUUAAGUUGCAGGGUAUAGACCCGAAACCCGGUGAUCUAGCCAUGGGCAGGUUGAAGGUUGGGUAACACUAACUGGAGGACCGAACCGACUAAUGUUGAAAAAUUAGCGGAUGACCUGUGGCUGGGGGUGAAAGGCCAAUCAAACCGGGAGAUAGCUGGUUCUCCCCGAAAGCUAUUUAGGUAGCGCCUCGUGAAUUCAUCUCCGGGGGUAGAGCACUGUUUCGGCUAGGGGGCCAUCCCGGCUUACCAACCCGAUGCAAACUGCGAAUACCGGAGAAUGUUAUCACGGGAGACACACGGCGGGUGCUAACGUCCGUCGUGAAGAGGGAAACAACCCAGACCGCCAGCUAAGGUCCCAAAGUCAUGGUUAAGUGGGAAACGAUGUGGGAAGGCCCAGACAGCCAGGAUGUUGGCUUAGAAGCAGCCAUCAUUUAAAGAAAGCGUAAUAGCUCACUGGUCGAGUCGGCCUGCGCGGAAGAUGUAACGGGGCUAAACCAUGCACCGAAGCUGCGGCAGCGACGCUGAUGCGUUGUUGGGUAGGGGAGCGUUCUGUAAGCCUGUGAAGGUGGCCUGUGAGGGUUGCUGGAGGUAUCAGAAGUGCGAAUGCUGACAUAAGUAACGAUAAAGCGGGUGAAAAGCCCGCUCGCCGGAAGACCAAGGGUUCCUGUCCAACGUUAAUCGGGGCAGGGUGAGUCGACCCCUAAGGCGAGGCCGAAAGGCGUAGUCGAUGGGAAACGGGUUAAUAUUCCCGUACUUGGUGUUACUGCGAAGGGGGGACGGAGAAGGCUAUGUUGGCCGGGCGACGGUUGUCCCGGUUUAAGCGUGUAGGCUGGUUUUCCAGGCAAAUCCGGAAAAUCAAGGCUGAGGCGUGAUGACGAGGCACUACGGUGCUGAAGCAACAAAUGCCCUGCUUCCAGGAAAAGCCUCUAAGCAUCAGGUAACAUCAAAUCGUACCCCAAACCGACACAGGUGGUCAGGUAGAGAAUACCAAGGCGCUUGAGAGAACUCGGGUGAAGGAACUAGGCAAAAUGGUGCCGUAACUUCGGGAGAAGGCACGCUGACACGUAGGUGAAGUGAUUUACUCAUGGAGCUGAAGUCAGUCGAAGAUACCAGCUGGCUGCAACUGUUUAUUAAAAACACAGCACUGUGCAAACACGAAAGUGGACGUAUACGGUGUGACGCCUGCCCGGUGCCGGAAGGUUAAUUGAUGGGGUCAGCGCAAGCGAAGCUCCUGAUCGAAGCCCCGGUAAACGGCGGCCGUAACUAUAACGGUCCUAAGGUAGCGAAAUUCCUUGUCGGGUAAGUUCCGACCUGCACGAAUGGCGUAAUGAUGGCCAGGCUGUCUCCACCCGAGACUCAGUGAAAUUGAACUCGCUGUGAAGAUGCAGUGUACCCGCGGCAAGACGGAAAGACCCCGUGAACCUUUACUAUAGCUUGACACUGAACAUUGAGCCUUGAUGUGUAGGAUAGGUGGGAGGCUUUGAAGUGUUGACGCAAGUCUGCAUGGAGCCGACCUUGAAAUACCACCCUUUAAUGUUUGAUGUUCUAACGUGGACCCGUAAUCCGGGUUGCGGACAGUGUCUGGUGGGUAGUUUGACUGGGGCGGUCUCCUCCUAAAGAGUAACGGAGGAGCACGAAGGUUGGCUAAUCCUGGUCGGACAUCAGGAGGUUAGUGCAAUGGCAUAAGCCAGCUUGACUGCGAGCGUGACGGCGCGAGCAGGUGCGAAAGCAGGUCAUAGUGAUCCGGUGGUUCUGAAUGGAAGGGCCAUCGCUCAACGGAUAAAAGGUACUCCGGGGAUAACAGGCUGAUACCGCCCAAGAGUUCAUAUCGACGGCGGUGUUUGGCACCUCGAUGUCGGCUCAUCACAUCCUGGGGCUGAAGUAGGUCCCAAGGGUAUGGCUGUUCGCCAUUUAAAGUGGUACGCGAGCUGGGUUUAGAACGUCGUGAGACAGUUCGGUCCCUAUCUGCCGUGGGCGCUGGAGAACUGAGGGGGGCUGCUCCUAGUACGAGAGGACCGGAGUGGACGCAUCACUGGUGUUCGGGUUGUCAUGCCAAUGGCACUGCCCGGUAGCUAAAUGCGGAAGAGAUAAGUGCUGAAAGCAUCUAAGCACGAAACUUGCCCCGAGAUGAGUUCUCCCUGAGACUUAGAGUCUCCUGAAGGAACGUUGAAGACGACGACGUUGAUAGGCCGGGUGUGUAAGCGCAGCGAUGCGUUGAGCUAACCGGUACUAAUGAACCGUGAGGCUUAACCUUACAACGCCGAAG
rnacentral:rRNA from 1 species